AGAGUUGGCGAGGCGGUUGCAGAUUAGUUUUUCAACUAAUUUGAGGAAAGUCCGGGCUUCCGAAAGACCAGACUUGCUGGGUAACGCCCAGUGCGUGCGAGCGUGAGGAUAGUGCCACAGAAAAAUACCGCCUUUUCAGUUAUCAGUGAACAUUGAACAGUGAACAGGUAAUACUUGAUAACUGAUAACUGGUAACUGUUAACUGAAAGGGUAAGGGUGCAAAGGUGAGGUAAGAGCUCACCAGCAGCAUCGAGAGGUGCUGGCUCGGUAAACCCCGGUUGGAAGCAAGGUGAGAGGAACUAUGGUUGGUCUUUUACCGGUUUCGCUUUAUGAGAGCCGCUUGAGGUGUUUGGUAACAAACGUCCCAGAUAGAUAAUCGCCCUUUAAAUGUAGAAAUUUUCUACAUUUUUAGAACAGAACCCGGCUUAUGUCCGACUCUCUUC
rnacentral:RNase_P_RNA from 1 species